GAUGAACGCUGGCGGCGUGCCUAAUACAUGCAAGUCGAGCGAACAGACGAGGAGCUUGCUCCUCUGACGUUAGCGGCGGACGGGUGAGUAACACGUGGAUAACCUACCUAUAAGACUGGGAUAACUUCGGGAAACCGGAGCUAAUACCGGAUAAUAUAUUGAACCGCAUGGUUCAAUAGUGAAAGACGGUUUUGCUGUCACUUAUAGAUGGAUCCGCGCCGCAUUAGCUAGUUGGUAAGGUAACGGCUUACCAAGGCAACGAUGCGUAGCCGACCUGAGAGGGUGAUCGGCCACACUAGAACUGGGACACGGUCCAGACGCCUACGGGAGGCAGCAGUAGGGAAUCUUCCGCAAUGGGCGAAAGCCUGACGGAGCAACGCCGCGUGAGUGAUGAAGGUCUUCGGAUCGUAAAACUCUGUUAUUAGGGAAGAACAAAUGUGUAAGUAACUAUGCACGUCUUGACGGUACCUAAUCAGAAAGCCACGGCUAACUACGUG
rnacentral:rRNA from 1 species